rnacentral:lncRNA from 1 species
GGAAAUCCAAUGAUCCUCUCCUGGGGUUACAUUUACCAAAUUCUAGAAGUAUAGUGCUUAUAAGCAACGUGUUCCUGCUGCUGUGAGCAGCUCCCUGUGCUCUGGACUCUCGUGCUGUGAGCUGUUGUCCCCAGCUCUGGCUGCCUGGGAACGCUGAUGCCCGUGUGCAGGUCCUAACAACCCGUGAGCAAGUGAGCUGGUGCAGGGAGAGGAGGG